ACCACAACAUAGCCCCUAUAUAAGGGGAGUCUGUAUAUAAAUGAGAGGUUCUCUCCUCCUUAUUUGGAGAGUUUGUAUAUAGAUGAGAGAUGCUCUUCUUCUUAUUUUUUACCACACCUUUCCAGUCAAGGAGUCUGUGUAUGGACAGGAGGGACCCCACAGUCACAAGGAUGGUCUCUUACCUAAUGCACCGUUAUUACAGCC
rnacentral:lncRNA from 1 species